rnacentral:rRNA from 1 species
ACGGAAGGCAGCAGUGGGGAAUAUUGCACAAUGGGGGAAACCCUGAUGCAGCGACGCCGCGUGAGUGAAGAAGUAUUUCGGUAUGUAAAGCUCUAUCAGCAGGAAAGAAAAUGACGGUACCUGACUAAGAAGCCCCGGCUAACUACGUGCCAGCAGCCGCGGUAAUACGUAGGGGGCAAGCGUUAUCCGGAUUUACUGGGUGUAAAGGGAGCGUAGACGGUUUUGCAAGUCAGAAGUGAAAGCCCGGGGCCCAACCCCGGAACUGCUUUUGAAACUGUAGAACUGGAGUGCAGGAGAGGUAAGUGGAAUUCCUAGUGUAGCGGUGAAAUGCGUAGAUAUUAGGAGGAACACCAGUGGCGAAGGCGGCUUACUGGACUGUAACUGACGUUGAGGCUCGAAGGCGUGGGGAGCAAACAGGAUUAGAUACCCUGGUA